GCUAAGACUGGAUAGGAAGAUAAAAGGCAUCUUUUAUCUUUUAAAAGACCUAGUAAUAGGUAUGCUUUAGGAGGGGCUUGCGCCAUAUUAGUUAGUUGGUAGGGUAAUGGCCUACCAAGACGAUGAUGUGUAGCUGGACUGAGAGGUUGAACAGCCACAUUGGGACUGAGACACGGCCCAAACUCCUACGGGAGGCAGCAGUAGGGAAUUUUCGGCAAUGGAGGAGACUCUGACCGAGCAACGCCGCGUGAAUGACGAAGUACUUCGGUAUGUAAAGUUCUUUUAUCAAGGAAGAAAAGCAAAUGGCGAACCAUUUGUUUGCCGGUACUUGAUGAAUAAGCCCCGGCUAAUUAUGUGCCAGCAGCCGCGGUAAGACAUAAGGGGCAAGUGUUAUCCGGAAUUAUUGGGCGUAAAGGGUGCGUAGGCGGUCUAGUAAGUCAGUGGUGUAAUGGCAACGCUUAACGUUGUCCGGCUAUUGAAACUGCUAAACUUGAGUUAGAUAGAGGCGAGUGGAAUUCCAUGUGUAGCGGUAAAAUGCGUAAAUAUAUGGAGGAACACCAGAGGCGUAGGCGGCUCGCUGGGUCUUAACUGACGCUGAGGCACGAAAGCGUGGGGAGCAAACAGGAUUAGAUACCCUGGUAGUCCACGCCGUAAACGAUGAGUACUAAGUGUCGGGUUAAACCGGUACUGAAGUUAACACAUUAAGUACUCCGCCUGAGUAGUACGUACGCAAGUAUGAAACUUAAAGGAAUUGACGGGACUCCGCACAAGCGGUGGAUCAUGUUGUUUAAUUCGAAGAUACCCGAAAAACCUUACCAGGUCUUGACAUGUUUUUGCAAAAUGAUAGUAAUAUCGUGGAGGUUACCAGAAACACAGGUGGUGCAUGGUUGUCGUCAGCUCGUGUCGUGAGAUGUUAGGUUAAGUCCUAAAACGAGCGAAACCCUUAUCGUUAGUUGCCAGCACGUUAUGGUGGGGACUUUAACGAGACUGCCAAUGAUAAAUUGGAGGAAGGUGAGGAUCACGUCAAAUCAGCAUGCCCCUUAUGACCUGGGCUACAAACGUGAUACAAUGGCUGUUACAAAGGGUAGCUGAAACGCAAGUUCUUGGCCAAUCCCCAAAAACAGUCCCAGUCCGGAUUGAAGUCUGCAACUCGACUUCAUGAAGUUGGAAUCGCUAGUAAUCGCGAAUCAGCAUGUCGCGGUGAAUACGUUCUCGGGGUUUGUACACACCGCCCGUCAAA
rnacentral:rRNA from 1 species